UACGGGGGGGGCAAGCGUUGUUCGGAAUUACUGGGCGUAAAGCGCGCGUAGGCGGACCUGCAAGUCGGGGGUGAAAGCCCGAGGCUCAACCUGGGAAUGGCAUCCGAUACGGCGGGACUGGAGUGUGGGAGAGGUUGGUGGAAUUCCCAGUGUAGAGGUGAAAUUCGUAGAUAUUGGGAAGAACACCGGUGGCGAAGGCGGCCAACUGGACCACAACUGACGCUGAGGCGCGAAAGCGUGGGGAGCAAACAGG
rnacentral:rRNA from 1 species